UACGUAGGGUGCAAGCGUUAAUCGGAAUACUGGGCGUAAAGCGUGCGCAGGCGGUUGGGCAAGACAGAUGUGAAAUCCCCGGGCUUAACCUGGGAACUGCAUUUGUGACUGCAUGGCUGGAGUGCGGCAGAGGGGGGAUGGAAUUCCGCGUGUAGCAGUGAAAUGCGUAGAUAUGCGGAGGAACACCGAUGGCGAAGGCAAUCCCCUGGGCCUGCACUGACGCUCAUGCACGAAAGCGUGGGGAGCAAACAGG
rnacentral:rRNA from 1 species